rnacentral:rRNA from 2 species
UUUUUUAUGGAGAGUUUGAUCCUGGCUCAGGACGAACGCUGGCGGCGUGCUUAACACAUGCAAGUCG